UACGGAGGGUGCAAGCGUUAAUCGGAAUUACUGGGCGUAAAGCGCACGUAGGUUGUCCUGUAAGUCAGGGGUGAAAGCCCGCGGCUUAACCGCGGAACUGCCCUUGAUACUGCAGGACUUGGAUCCGAGAGGUCAGCGGAAUUCCAGGUGUAGGAGUGAAAUCCGUAGAUAUCUGGAGGAACAUCAGCGGCGAAGGCGGCUGACUGGACCGGCAUUGACGCCGAGGUGCGAAAGCGUGGGUAGCAAACAG
rnacentral:rRNA from 1 species